rnacentral:rRNA from 1 species
AAUCAACGCUGGCGGCGUGCCUCAGACAUGCAAGUCGAACGAUUAAGACUUCCUUCGGGAAGUGCAUAAAGUGGCGCACGGGUGAGUAACACGUAAGUAAUCUACCCUCGAGUGGGGAAUAACAGUCGGAAACGACUGCUAAUACCGCAUAAUGCAGCGGCACCGCAAGGUGACAGUUGUUAAAGGAGCAAUCCGCUUGAGGAGGAGCCUGCGGCAGAUUAGCUAGGUGGUAAGGUAACGGCUUACCAAGGCUACGAUCUGUAUCCGGUCUAAGAGGACGGUCGGACACACUGACACUGAAUAACGGGUCAGACUCCUACGGGAGGCAGCAGUCGGGAAUUUUGGGCAAUGGGCGAAAGCCUGACCCAGCAACGCCGCGUGAAGGAUGAAGUAUUUCGGUAUGUAAACUUCGAAAGAAUAGGAAGAAUAAAUGACGGUACUAUUUAUAAGCUCCGGCUAACUACGUGCCAGCAGCCGCCGCAGUAA